rnacentral:rRNA from 1 species
AUUGAACGAUGGCGGCAGGCCUAACACAUGCAAGUCGAGCGGAGCGGCGGACGGGCGAGUGAUGCCUAGGAGUCUGCCUGGUAGUGGGGGAUAACGUCCGGAAACGGGCGCUAAUUACGCAUACUAUCAGAUGAGCCUAGGUAGGACUAGGUAGUUGGUGGGGUAAAGGCCUACCAAGGCGACGAUCCGUAACUGGUCUGCGCGGAUGAUCAGUCAAACUGGAACCGGGACACGGUCCAGACUCCUACGGGAGGCAGCAGUGGGGAAUAUUGGACAAUGGGCGAAAGCCUGAUCCAGCCAUGGCGCGUGUGUGAAGAAGGUCUUCGGAUUGUAAAGCACUUUAAGUUGGGAGGCGUUACCAACAGAAUAAGCACCGGCUAACUUCGUGCCAGCAGCCGCGGUAAUAC